UUAGCUUGCUAAGGCUGAUGGCGACCGGCGCACGGGUGAGUAACACGUAUCCAACCUGCCGUCUACUCUUGGCCAGCCUUCUGAAAGGAAGAUUAAUCCAGGAUGGGAUCAUGAGUUCACAUGUCCGCAUGAUUAAAGGUAUUUUCCGGUAGACGAUGGGGAUGCGUUCCAUUAGAUAGUAGGCGGGGUAACGGCCCACCUAGUCAACGAUGGAUAGGGGUUCUGAGAGGAUGAACGGCCACAUUGGAACUGAGACACGGUCCAAACUCC
rnacentral:rRNA from 1 species